GGACGGCAGAACUGUCAAAAGUCAGAUCAGCGCUCCUAAACCACAAGCCUUAAUAAAGUUGAAUUUCCUGAGACAGGAAGACGUGUCACGGUCUCGCCCCACCUCUCCCUAGCCUCACCCUUUUCUUUCAGGAAGGCACAAGCUAAAUUGAAACAUUAACGAAACUUUCAAAGCCCUCCAACCGUUGGGACGUGGUUGGACAGGAGAGAAAUGCCCCGCGCCUGCUCCUUCUCGCGCUGCCGACUCUGCGUGGCUGCGGGUUUCCGGAGUUAGCGGGGACGCCAGGCACCGCCCUGCCGGGAGGAGUGGUACCUGGGCCCGCGCCCAGACACCCGGAGCCCGACUCGCGCAGAGGAAGCUGUAAGCAGAACUUCUCAACAUUGGCACUAUAGACAUUUUGGACGAGUAGGUUAUGGAUUGAAUCAUGUCUCCCAUAAAGACAAGUUGGCGUCCUAACCCCCAGUCUUGUGGAUGUGAACUCAUUUGUAAAUAGGACCUUCAAAGAUCAUAUUAAGAUGAAGCCAAACUGUAUCAGGGGGCCUUAAUCACUAUGACUGGAGUACUUAUAAGUCAAGGAAAUUUGGGCACAAGUUGUAGGAGACAGAAGGAAACAGAUGGAGAGAGAGACAGCUGCGUAACAGAGGCAGAGAUUGAGUUACGGAUUGCCACCAAGUCACCACACAACUCUACAGACUUCAAAGAAAGCAUGGCCCUGCCAACACCUUGAUUUUGGACUUCUAGCCUCUAAAACUGAGACAGUAAAUUCCUGCUGUUUAAGUCAACCAGUCAGUGGUAUUUUGUUACAGCAGCCCUGGCAAACUGAUACACAGUCGGUAACCAGUACAGUGUUUUUGUAUAUAAAAAGAAAGGCUGGACUAUGCAUGAAACACAGUGCUAUACACAGUUCCUCCAAGUUUCAAUGUUCAAAGACCUUUUAAUACCACUUUAAUUGGAGCACAACCCCCUGACUUAAUAGGCUGUUGCCACAUAAUAAUAAAAAUAUUUCUUAUCUAUUAAAUUAUCAUUUUAAUAACUUUCCUUGCUUUAAAAAUUUAUGAAACUCAUUUUUUUUUAAGUCAGUUUUCAUUGGGUACACCAUUUUGUGAGAGCUCAAUACAUUCUGGAUAAUGGAAAUUUUAAGAUUGCCUCUUAAGUAUAAUAUAAACAUGAGUUUCUGGUAAGCCUCAGUGUGAACUAAAGUUAACUUACUUUUUGUAAGUUAACUCAGUCCUAAAAAGGGAUGGCACCAGCCUAUUGGUGACUAUUUUAGUGUAGCAAUUGCUGCAAUAGCUGAGUAAAGCAGGAAAAUCAAUUAUAGUUCUGAAAGACAUGUAGAUUUUGUUCAUUUAAAACUCAGGCUUUUAAUCCCUGGUUAAAAACCUAGCCUGGAAUGCAUUCUGAAAGCAUAACAUUUGCUUCUACCAAAAGAGGAUGUAAUAACUCCUAGAUGCAUAUCAUUUAAACAAAUGGAUUAGCCAAAAUAAUGAUGUGAGAGUUAUGCCAAAUAAGGCCAACAUGCUCUGGGUCUGUGAAAAGUAGAUUGCGCAAUAAAAUUUCCAUCAUAUUUCAUCUGUUUUUUAAUAGGUCACAGAAGUUGUAUUCAUAGGCACAUGA